AGGUACUCCCGAAUCCUCAGCGAGAGGAUAGGGAUAACGGCUGGUUGGCACAGCCAGCGGUUCGCCUGUUCGACCGUAGCGAGGGCCGGUUCGCCCCGCGAGAACAAGAGCCGAACCGCGAACCUUAAUAUCCCAACUGCGGUCGGGAAUCCCCGCCCUCAGCGAGCGCCCGUAUGGGCGCGAGCAGGGCGGGGA
rnacentral:ncRNA from 1 species